rnacentral:rRNA from 1 species
AGCGAACGUUUGCGGCGGGCCUAACACAUGCAAGUCGAACGCACUAGCAAUAGUGAGUGGCGCACGGGUGCGUAACACGUGGGUAAUCAACCCUUCAGCCUGGGAUAACGACUCGAAAGGGUCGCUAAUACCGGAUACGGCGCGAGAGGCUUCGGCUUCUCACGAGAAAGCCACGCAAGGGGCACUGAAGGACGAGCCUGCGGCCCAUCAGCUAGUUGGUGAGGUAAGAGCUCACCAAGGCUAAGACGGGUAGCUGGUCUGAGAGGAUGAUCAGCCACACUGGAACUGAGACACGGUCCAGACCCCUACGGGAGGCAGCAGUGGGGAAUAUUGGACAAUGGGCGAAAGCCUGAUCCAGCAAUGCCGCGUGAGUGAUGAAGGCCUUAGGGUUGUAAAGCUCUUUUACCAGGGAUGAUAAUGACAGUACCUGGAGAAUAAGCUCCGGCUAACUCCGUGCCAGCAGCCGCGGUAAUGUACAGUGUCC